rnacentral:lncRNA from 1 species
AGUCGUGCCGCCUGGUCUCCGCUACACGAUGAUUCCUCCAUUGCCAACCCCGACCGCGGCAGCGACAGCUCCUUUCCCCGCCCUGUCAGAAGCCGCCCGACAAUCUGUUGCUCCGCGCUCGCCCGCGCACCCGCGGCUGCCUGUCUUCUCACCUGUGCGCCCUCGAUUCUAGCGCCGUUAAACCGGUCGCUUCUAUCACCUCUUCCGCACGACGACGCCCGCCUUCCGCCAAAUCUCAACCACCGGUCUACCCGCUCCUACGCCGCCCUGACGGCAGAACCCAAUGACUGCUGGCGUCACCCCCGGAGUCCUGCACCACCGCCCUCUUCGCAAAAUCGCCGCCACGGCAGAGCACUCCAUUGCUUCUCCCCGGCCUUCGCGCCGCUCCCCU